AUUCCUACACUUACUGCUCGCGCGAUAAUUCAUAUAAUGAUGGGCAGUAA
rfam:Vibrio coralliilyticus strain 58 chromosome II, complete sequence.